rnacentral:rRNA from 1 species
GGGCCCGCACAAGCGGUGGAGCAUGUGGUUUAAUUCGACGCAACGCGAAGAACCUUACCAGGUCUUGACUUCCUGACUAUGGUUAUUAGAAAUAAUUUCCUUCAGUUCGGCUGGGUCAGUGACAGGUGCUGCAUGGCUGUCGUCAGCUCGUGUCGUGAGAUGUUGGUUAAGUUCCGCAACGAGCGCAACCCUUAUCUUCAGUUGCCAGCAGGUUAAGCUGGGCACUCUGAAGAGACUGCCGGUGAUAAGCCGGAGGAAGGCGGGGAUGACGUCAAGUCCCUAUGGCCCUUAUGACCGUGGGCUACACACGUGCUACAAUGGCGUUGACAAAGAGCAGCGAUAACGCAAGUUU